rnacentral:rRNA from 1 species
UACGAAGGGAGCUAGCGUUGUUCGGAAUCACUGGGCGUAAAGCGCACGUAGGCGGAUUUGUCAGUCAGGGGUGAAAUCCCGGGGCUCAACCUCGGAACUGCCUUUGAUACAGCAAGUCUUGAGUUCGAGAGAGGUGGGUGGAAUUCCUAGUGUAGAGGUGAAAUUCGUAGAUAUCAGGAAGAACACCGGUGGCGAAGGCGGCUCGCUGGGCCAGUUCUGACACUCAUCCGCGAAAGCGUGGGGAGCAAACAGG